CUGGUGAGGUUUUACCCAUCCCCACCAGCUCUAGGGGAUGUUUAGGAUCAGGUUUGGGAUCUGGUUUGGGAUCUCCUGGGGUUUAUUCAUCCCCACCCACUCUGGGGGAUGUUUGGGAUCUGGUUUAGGGUCUGGUGAGGUUUAUCCAUCCCCACCAGCCCUGGGCAAUGUUUGGGAUCUGGUUUGGGAUCUGCUGGGGGUUUAUCCAUCCCCAGUCUGGUUUAGGGUCUGGUGAGGUUUUACCCAUCCCCACCAGUUCUGGGGGAUGUUUGGGACCUGAUUUGGGAUCUGCUGGGGUUUACCCAUCCUCACCCACUCUGGGCAAUGUUUGGGAUCUGAUUUGGGAUCUGGUUUGGGAUCUCCUGGGGUUUAUCCAUCCCUUAUCCAUCCCCACCAGCUCUGGGCAAUGUUUGGGAUCUGGUUUGGGAUCUGGUGAGGUUUAUCCACCCCCAGUCUGGUUUAGGAUCUGCUGGGGUUUAUCCAUCCCCACCAGCUCUGGGAGAUGUUUGGGAUCAGGUUUAGGAUCUGCUGGGGUUUAUCCAUCCUCACCCACUCUGGGCAAUGUUUGGGAUCAGGUUUAGGAUCAGGUUUGGGAUCAGGUUUGGGAUCAGGUUUAGGAUCAGGUUUGGGAUCAGGUUUGGGAUCUGGUUUAGGAUCAGGUUUGGGAUCUGCUGGGGUUUCUCCAUCCCCGCCAGCUCUGGGUCCUUCCCCGGUGCCCAGGGGUGAAGGUGCCAACUCUCAGAGCCCGGCAGGAAAAUUCCCCUUGAAUGUGGGGCAGGAUCAGAUCCCUCCUCCCCCCUUUCCCAAACCCACAGCACUCCCUGACCAUAAUUCUCAUUUUUCCCGCUGUUAUCCCAGAACUCCAGCAGGACUUAACCCUUUAAUGGACAUUUGUGGGUUUUAUCCCAUUCCCACUCCACGAGCUCUGGGAUUUGUGGCCUGGGGGGGACGAGGGGCUGGACCAGAGGUGGAUUUGGGCUUUGGGAUUCUGCUGUACCCAGGAUUGGGAAUUCUGUCUCAGCUGAGCCCUGGCUGUGAGUGGAGCCUCCCCUCUGCACUAAUUUGGGAUUUUUGGUUGUACAAACCCCAUUAAAAUGUGGAGACUUUUCCAACUCGGCUUCCUGGGUCAUUUUUUUGGGGCUGGUGCUGGGACAGAGCCCCCCAAGCUCUGGAGCUCUGGGGUUGUUCCCUUUUCCCAACCUGGGAAUGAAACUCGAGAUCAUUUUAGGUCUGACUUCAAAUAAAAAUGGAUUUUACUUCAAAUAAAAGUGGAUUUUACUUCAAGGCCGUUGGGGGCAGUAAUGGAAAGGUGCCCACAAAACUCCGCCCCCACAGGGGUGAGGACAUUUUUAUUGAUUUUAGAAAUGAAAUAAUUAAUAAAAGCACAAUUAGGAGGA